rnacentral:rRNA from 1 species
AUUGAACGCUGGCGGCAGGCUUAACACAUGCAAGUCGAGCGGGGUGAUGGUGCUUGCACUAUCACUUAGCGGCGGACGGGUGAGUAAUGCUUAGGAAUCUGCCUAUUAGUGGGGGACAACAUCUCGAAAGGGAUGCUAAUACCGCAUACGUCCUACGGGAGAAAGCAGGGGAUCACUUGUGACCUUGCGCUAAUAGAUGAGCCUAAGUCGGAUUAGCUAGUUGGUGGGGUAAAGGCCUACCAAGGCGACGAUCUGUAGCGGGUCUGAGAGGAUGAUCCGCCACAGUGGGACUGAGACACAGCCCAGAAUCCUACGGGAGGUAGCAGUGGGGAAUAUUGGAAAAUGGGGGGAACCCUGAUCCAGCCAUGCCGCGUGUGUGAAGAAGGCCUUAUGGUUGUAAAGCACUUUAAGCGAGGAGGAGGCUCUUUUGGUUAAUACCCAAGAUGAGUGGACGUUACUCGCAGAAUAAGCACCGGCUAACUCUGUGCCAGCCGCCGCCGUAA